UUCGGUGUCGGGUAAUUGGUAGCCCAGCGGCCUGUUAAGCCGCCUGUCCUGGUUCGAGUCCAGGCACCGAAG
rnacentral:tRNA from 1 species